AGGUGCCUGUAAAACACAGGGUAAAAGGGAAUUGGGUGAAAAUCCCAUACGGACCCGCCGCUGUGAAGAGAGAGUCAAGUACAAUCAUAGACACUGGUAUUAUUUACUGGGAAGUCCGUACCUGGCGAUUGAUCUCUGAGUCAGAAAACCUGCCUUUUUAG
rnacentral:ncRNA from 1 species